GGUUAAGCGACUAAGCGUACACGGUGGAUGCCCUGGCAGUCAGAGGCGAUGAAGGACGUGCUAAUCUGCGAUAAGCGUCGGUAAGGUGAUAUGAACCGUUAUAACCGGCGAUUUCCGAAUGGGGAAACCCAGUGUGAUUCGUCACACUAUCAUUAACUGAAUCCAUAGGUUAAUGAGGCGAACCGGGGGAACUGAAACAUCUAAGUACCCCGAGGAAAAGAAAUCAACCGAGAUUCCCCCAGUAGCGGCGAGCGAACGGGGAGCAGCCCAGAGCCUGAAUCAGUGUGUGUGUUAGUGGAAGCGUCUGGAAAGGCGCGCGAUACAGGGUGACAGCCCCGUACACAAAAAUGCACAUGCUGUGAGCUCGAUGAGUAGGGCGGGACACGUGGUAUCCUGUCUGAAUAUGGGGGGACCAUCCUCCAAGGCUAAAUACUCCUGACUGACCGAUAGUGAACCAGUACCGUGAGGGAAAGGCGAAAAGAACCCCGGCGAGGGGAGUGAAAAAGAACCUGAAACCGUGUACGUACAAGCAGUGGGAGCACGCUUAGGCGUGUGACUGCGUACCUUUUGUAUAAUGGGUCAGCGACUUAUAUUCUGUAGCAAGGUUAACCGAAUAGGGGAGCCGAAGGGAAACCGAGUCUUAACUGGGCGUUAAGUUGCAGGGUAUAGACCCGAAACCCGGUGAUCUAGCCAUGGGCAGGUUGAAGGUUGGGUAACACUAACUGGAGGACCGAACCGACUAAUGUUGAAAAAUUAGCGGAUGACUUGUGGCUGGGGGUGAAAGGCCAAUCAAACCGGGAGAUAGCUGGUUCUCCCCGAAAGCUAUUUAGGUAGCGCCUCGUGAAUUCAUCUCCGGGGGUAGAGCACUGUUUCGGCAAGGGGGUCAUCCCGACUUACCAACCCGAUGCAAACUGCGAAUACCGGAGAAUGUUAUCACGGGAGACACACGGCGGGUGCUAACGUCCGUCGUGAAGAGGGAAACAACCCAGACCGCCAGCUAAGGUCCCAAAGUCAUGGUUAAGUGGGAAACGAUGUGGGAAGGCCCAGACAGCCAGGAUGUUGGCUUAGAAGCAGCCAUCAUUUAAAGAAAGCGUAAUAGCUCACUGGUCGAGUCGGCCUGCGCGGAAGAUGUAACGGGGCUAAACCAUGCACCGAAGCUGCGGCAGCGACGCUUAUGCGUUGUUGGGUAGGGGAGCGUUCUGUAAGCCUGUGAAGGUGUACUGUGAGGUAUGCUGGAGGUAUCAGAAGUGCGAAUGCUGACAUAAGUAACGAUAAAGCGGGUGAAAAGCCCGCUCGCCGGAAGACCAAGGGUUCCUGUCCAACGUUAAUCGGGGCAGGGUGAGUCGACCCCUAAGGCGAGGCCGAAAGGCGUAGUCGAUGGGAAACAGGUUAAUAUUCCUGUACUUGGUGUUACUGCGAAGGGGGGACGGAGAAGGCUAUGUUGGCCGGGCGACGGUUGUCCCGGUUUAAGCGUGUAGGCUGGUUUUCCAGGCAAAUCCGGAAAAUCAAGGCUGAGGCGUGAUGACGAGGCACUACGGUGCUGAAGCAACAAAUGCCCUGCUUCCAGGAAAAGCCUCUAAGCAUCAGGUAACAUCAAAUCGUACCCCAAACCGACACAGGUGGUCAGGUAGAGAAUACCAAGGCGCUUGAGAGAACUCGGGUGAAGGAACUAGGCAAAAUGGUGCCGUAACUUCGGGAGAAGGCACGCUGAUAUGUAGGUGAAGUCCCUCGCGGAUGGAGCUGAAAUCAGUCGAAGAUACCAGCUGGCUGCAACUGUUUAUUAAAAACACAGCACUGUGCAAACACGAAAGUGGACGUAUACGGUGUGACGCCUGCCCGGUGCCGGAAGGUUAAUUGAUGGGGUUAGCGCAAGCGAAGCUCUUGAUCGAAGCCCCGGUAAACGGCGGCCGUAACUAUAACGGUCCUAAGGUAGCGAAAUUCCUUGUCGGGUAAGUUCCGACCUGCACGAAUGGCGUAAUGAUGGCCAGGCUGUCUCCACCCGAGACUCAGUGAAAUUGAACUCGCUGUGAAGAUGCAGUGUACCCGCGGCAAGACGGAAAGACCCCGUGAACCUUUACUAUAGCUUGACACUGAACAUUGAGCCUUGAUGUGUAGGAUAGGUGGGAGGCUUUGAAGUGUGGACGCCAGUCUGCAUGGAGCCGACCUUGAAAUACCACCCUUUAAUGUUUGAUGUUCUAACGUUGACCCGUAAUCCGGGUUGCGGACAGUGUCUGGUGGGUAGUUUGACUGGGGCGGUCUCCUCCUAAAGAGUAACGGAGGAGCACGAAGGUUGGCUAAUCCUGGUCGGACAUCAGGAGGUUAGUGCAAUGGCAUAAGCCAGCUUGACUGCGAGCGUGACGGCGCGAGCAGGUGCGAAAGCAGGUCAUAGUGAUCCGGUGGUUCUGAAUGGAAGGGCCAUCGCUCAACGGAUAAAAGGUACUCCGGGGAUAACAGGCUGAUACCGCCCAAGAGUUCAUAUCGACGGCGGUGUUUGGCACCUCGAUGUCGGCUCAUCACAUCCUGGGGCUGAAGUAGGUCCCAAGGGUAUGGCUGUUCGCCAUUUAAAGUGGUACGCGAGCUGGGUUUAGAACGUCGUGAGACAGUUCGGUCCCUAUCUGCCGUGGGCGCUGGAGAACUGAGGGGGGCUGCUCCUAGUACGAGAGGACCGGAGUGGACGCAUCACUGGUGUUCGGGUUGUCAUGCCAAUGGCACUGCCCGGUAGCUAAAUGCGGAAGAGAUAAGUGCUGAAAGCAUCUAAGCACGAAACUUGCCCCGAGAUGAGUUCUCCCUGACUCCUUGAGAGUCCUGAAGGAACGUUGAAGACGACGACGUUGAUAGGCCGGGUGUGUAAGCGCAGCGAUGCGUUGAGCUAACCGGUACUAAUGAACCGUGAGGCUUAACCUU
rnacentral:rRNA from 2 species